rnacentral:rRNA from 1 species
UACGUAGGGCGCAAGCGUUGUCCGGAUUUAUUGGGCGUAAAGAGCUCGUAGGCGGUUUGUCGCGUCUUCCGUGAAAACUGGGGGCUUAACUUCCAGCUUGCGGUGGAUACGGGCUGACUGGAGUGCGGCAGGGGAGACUGGAAUUCCUGGUGUAGCGGUGAAAUGCGCAGAUAUCAGGAAGAACACCCGUGGCUAAGGCGGCUCUCUAGUACGGUACUGACGCUGAGACGCGAAAGCGUGGGGAGCGAACAGG